UACGAAGGGGGCUAGCGUUGUUCGGUUUUACUGGGCGUAAAGCGCACGUAGGCGGAUCGUUAAGUCGGGGGUGAAAUCCUGGAGCUCAACUCCAGAACUGCCUUCGAUACUGGCGAUCUAGAGUCCGGAAGAGGUGAGUGGAACUCCUAGUGUAGAGGUGGAAUUCGUAGAUAUUAGGAAGAACACCAGUGGCGAAGGCGGCUCACUGGUCCGGUACUGACGCUGAGGUGCGAAAGCGUGGGGAGCAAACAGG
rnacentral:rRNA from 1 species